UACAGAGGGGGCAAGCGUUAUUCGGAAUUAUUGGGCGUAAAGGGCGCGUAGGCGGCUUUGCAAGUGACGGGUGAAAUCCCUCGGCUUAACCGAGGAACUGCCUGUCAGACUGCAUGGCUCGAGACCAGGAGAGGUGAGUGGAAUUCCCAGUGUAGCGGUGAAAUGCGUAGAGAUGGGGGGAGAACACUCGUGGCGAAGGGCGGCCAGCUAGACCGAGUUCUGACACUGGAGGCG
rnacentral:rRNA from 1 species